rnacentral:lncRNA from 1 species
CCGGGAGUCAGGUGACCUGGCCCCGGAGCUGCUCCCUGGACCUGCGGGAGGUGCUCUGCGACCGCCCACGCCCCGGCCCGCGGCGCGUCCCGGACGUCCACGCUUGCGUUUCUGCGGAUCGUGGGAAUCCUUCUGCGUGGGAGUUUUAGAAAUGCUAACCGAGCUCAGGUUUUGAACAUGUCUGGGACUGUGAAUUGGCUGCCAGAAUGAAAUUUGAGGAGGGGAAAAUAUGAUGGUGUGAAGAUCCUCUUAGCCAUCACAAAGAUAUGGCAGGCGUGUGAAGGACAAUUGUGUGCAUUCAUUAGCUGCUUCCGCCAAGCAAGAAUUGUCAUCAAAAGGAAGAAAUUACCAGCGCUGCUACAUUUAAACUCAGCCUGGGCCAGCAGCCAUGAGCAGUGGCCACAGUGAACCUUGGAGGCCACUAGGCAGUGGCUACAGGCUUGGCAGAUCGGUGAAGAGUCACUCUGCAAAGGAUGAAGGUCUGAUUCCCAUUCCUGGGACAUUGUUCUUGAGACCCAGCGCUGACUGAGCUCUACACUAGGGGAAUUGUUGGACACAGAAUUGAACCAUUAUACGCCGUUACCAUCUAGAAAGGCUCUCUUUCUCUUAUAAAGCAAAUCUCCUCCAGACACUUUGACACCACACCACUCAAGUGGGGCAGAUGGUACAUCCGUUCCUCUUGUCUUCCUACUGUGUGGGGAUCUAGGCUCAGGCUCCUUUGGUGAGUAAAAGUCAUUUACAGAACUAAAUUUUG